AUCACAAAAAAAAUCCCAAGACAAAAAGCAGUAGUGCAACUGAAGCUGUAGGCCCAAAGCCAGUGGACCUAAAAGACAUCCUGGAUGUUGACCCACUCCUGCAAGGCCAGGCUCUCCUGGCCGCCAACAAAAAGAGAAAGAAGCAGCAAAAGAGAGCUGAUAAACUGGGCACCAAACUUUCAGAUUCUCUUACGUCAGCUUUGAAUUUCUCCUUCUCUGACAGCUGAUUGUGAGCAUUAAACCAAGAUGCUCAGGGGAGUUUAUUCUACUUUUUACAUGUGGUUGGAGAUACUAACACACUUGUAUAUUUAAGCUAUUUACAAUUUAAAAUAUGCAAAUAAAUAAUCUUUUCUCUGAUUGAGAAGAAUGACUCAA